CAGCAGCCGCGGUAAUACAGAGGGUGCAAGCGUUAAUCGGAUUUACUGGGCGUAAAGCGUGCGUAGGCGGCUAAUUGAGUCGGAUGUGAAAUCCCCGAGCUUAACUUGGGAAUUGCAUUCGAUACUGGUUAGCUAGAGUGUGGGAGAGGAUGGUAGAAUUCCAGGUGUAGCGGUGAAAUGCGUAGAGAUCUGGAGGAAUACCGAUGGCGAAGGCAGCCAUCUGGCCUAACACUGACGCUGAGGUACGAAAGCAUGGGGAGCAAACAGGAUUAGAUACCCCGGUAGUCCCUGUCUCUUAUAC
rnacentral:rRNA from 1 species